GACGAACGCUGGCGGCGCGCCUAACACAUGCAAGUCGAACGAGUGAGAGAGAGCUUGCUUUCUCAAGCGAGUGGCGAACGGGUGAGUAACGCGUGAGGAACCUGCCUCAAAGAGGGGGACAACAGUUGGAAACGACUGCUAAUACCGCAUAAGCCCACGACCCGGCAUCGGGUAGAGGGAAAAGGAGCAAUCCGCUUUGAGAUGGCCUCGCGUCCGAUUAGCUAGUUGGUGAGGUAACGGCCCACCAAGGCGACGAUCGGUAGCCGGACUGAGAGGUUGAACGGCCACAUUGGGACUGAGACACGGCCCAGACUCCUACGGGAGGCAGCAGUGGGGAAUAUUGCACAAUGGGGGAAACCCUGAUGCAGCGACGCCGCGUGGAGGAAGAAGGUCUUCGGAUUGUAAACUCCUGUUGUUGAGGAAGAUAAUGACGGUAC
rnacentral:rRNA from 1 species